rnacentral:rRNA from 1 species
UACGGGGGGAGCAAGCGUUGUUCGGAUUUACUGGGCGUAAAGGGCGCGUAGGCGGCGUGGUAAGUCACUUGUGAAAUCUCCGAGCUUAACUCGGAACGGUCAAGUGAUACUGCUGUGCUAGAGUGCAGAAGGGGCAAUCGGAAUUCUUGGUGUAGCGGUGAAAUGCGUAGAUAUCAAGAGGAACACCUGAGGUGAAGACGGGUUGCUGGGCUGACACUGACGCUGAGGCGCGAAAGCUAGGGUAGCAAACGGG